AAACUGUGUUGCGGACACUUCCACAAGAGGUCCUUGAAUCUCUCCCAUGUCUCAAACAAUAAUUCGAUCUCCAUCUGUAUGAAUGAGGAUGUCUCAUUAUGAAGCCU